AAGCAAUAUUUUGUUAGUUGUAGCUUCUUUUGAGAGAAAUGGGUAUAAGUGUCGUCUAAACACUCCUAAUCCAUCUCUAACUCUUAUAAUUAGUCAAAUGUAUUAGAUUGUGACAUAUUUUGACAAUAGAAAUACUAACAAAGCUAUUUACUGUUUCUAAGCAAUUUUUAGUUGGUUUUAGCCUCUUUAGGGAGAAAAUGGGUAUAAGUGUUGUCUACACCCUCCUAAUCCGUCUCUUACUCUUAUACCUAGUUAAAUGCUUUGGAUUGUGACACAUUUUGACCAUAGAAACACUAUAAAAGCUAUUUACUGUUUCUAAGCAAUUUUUUGUAGGUAUUAGCCUA
rnacentral:sRNA from 1 species